rnacentral:siRNA from 1 species
UGUAAAGCUCAGGAGGGAUAGCGC